rnacentral:rRNA from 1 species
AGCCACACUGGAACUGAGACACGGUCCACACUCCUACGGGAGGCAGCAGUGGGGAAUAUUGCACAAUGGGCGCAAGC